CUCAUCUUUUAAUAUAAACUGGACUUUGAAAACUCUUUUGAGGACAUUACCCAUUAGCUUCAUUACCUAAAGACAUCGCCACUUGUCCCCUGGAGGAGGGAGAAAAAGGCCUAUGAGUAAAGAGAUACCAAUUCUGCCCCCAGUGAGAACCACUGUGCUACAUGAAUAGAGAAAAUUGCUCUUCGAACACGAGCAAGAAAAGUUGCAAGCAUACACACAACGGAAAAACAGCACUGAAAGGAAGAUGUGAAGAAAUAUACUUAGAGCAUUUUUCAUAUUCCAUUUAAUUCAUAAA
rnacentral:lncRNA from 1 species